rfam:Otolemur garnettii contig004282, whole genome shotgun sequence.
UCCACACAGUGGCGUGCCUGUAGUCCCAGCUACUCCGGAGGCUGAGACAGGAGGAUUGCUUGAGUCCAGGAGUUCUGGGCUAUAGUGCACUAUGUGGAUCAGGUGUCCGCACUAAGUUUGGCAUCCAUAUGGUGACCUCCCAGGAGCAGGGGGCCACUAGGUUGCCUAAGGAGGCAAUCACUGGCCCAGGUUGGAAAUGGAGCAGGUCAAAACUCCUGUGCUGAUCAGUAGUGGGAUCGUGCCUGUGAAUAGCCACUGCACUCCAGCCUGGACAACAUAGUGAGACCCCAUCUCUU